rnacentral:rRNA from 1 species
CCUUCGACGUUAGCGGCGGACGGGUGAGUAACACGUGGGUAACCUACCUAUAAGACUGGGAUAACUUCGGGAAACCGGAGCUAAUACCGGAUAAUAUUUCGAACCGCAUGGUUCGAUAGUGAAAGGUGGUUUUGCUAUCACUUAUAGAUGGACCCGCGCCGUAUUAGCUAGUUGGUAAGGUAACGGCUUACCAAGGCGACGAUACGUAGCCGACCUGAGAGGGUGAUCGGCCACACUGGAACUGAGACACGGUCCAGACUCCUACGGGAGGCAGCAGCG